rnacentral:rRNA from 1 species
GACGAACGCUGGCGGCGUGCUUAACACAUGCAAGUCGAACGGAAAGGCCCUGCUUUUGUGGGGGGCUCGAGUGGCGAACGGGUGAGUAACACGUGAGUAACCUGCCCUUGACUUUGGGAUAACUUCAGGAAACUGGGGCUAAUACCGGAUAGGAGCUCCUGCUGCAUGGUGGGGGUUGGAAAGGGUGGGCGGUUGGGGAUGGACUCGCGGCUUAUCAGCUUGUUGGUGGGGUAGUGGCUUACCAAGGCUUUGACGGGUAGCCGGCCUGAGAGGGUGACCGGCCACAUUGGGACUGAGAUACGGCCCAGACUCCUACGGGAGGCAGCAGUGGGGAAUAUUGCACAAUGGGCGGAAGCCUGAUGCAGCAACGCCGCGUGCGGGAUGACGGCCUUCGGGUUGUAAACCGCUUUCGCCUGUGACGAAGCGUGAGUGACGGUAAUGGGUAAAGAAGCCCCGGCUAACUACGUG